UAUAUUAAUACGUUUUAGUAUAAAACAAAUAAAAUAAACUAGAUUAAAACUAUUUAAAGUAUUUAAAACCUACUUUGUGGGUGUAGCACUUUUUUACAGUGUAGAGGAAAUCAACUCA